UACGUAGGGUGCAAGCGUUUAAUCGGAAUUACUGGGCGUAAAGCGUGCGCAGGCGGUGAUGUAAGACAGGUGUGAAAUCCCCGGGCUUAACCUGGGAACUGCAUUUGUGACUGCAUCGCUGGAGUGUGGCAGAGGGGGGUGGAAUUCCGCGUGUAGCAGUGAAAUGCGUAGAGAUGCGGAGGAACACCGAUGGCGAAGGCAGCCCCCCUGGGCUAACACUGACGCUCAGGCACGAAAAGCGUGGGGGAGCAAACAGGG
rnacentral:rRNA from 1 species